GAGUAAAACUUUGUGUCUGUAAUAGAUUUUAAUUGGCUUAUUUUACACAUUAAUCCCUUAAAACGUUAUUUAAACCAGAUGGCUUGUUUUUAUAAAACUAAAGCAAAUGGAAGAAUUACCAGAUCCAACUGGGAUUCAACUGGGACUGCGAACACCAGCAACCACACCAGUAACUGAGCCUCUGUGCCUUAAUGCAGGUCUGGGUGUGGUGACUUUACUCCCACAUUUAACGUCUGAGGAAGUGAGCUCAUAUUCUUUAAGUGGUUUCCUGAUAUAUAGGGGAAACAUCAUAAUUAUAAGGUCAUUAAAACCAUGUCGUUCAGUUUUAUACCAAAGUUUAAGAUCACUCCUUUAUUAGUGACAUUUAGUUCGGAUUGGACUAACUUUGGAGGAGACAUCGAUCCAAAUGCUCUAAAAAGUUAAACUCUUUGAGUUUUGUGCGAAAUGUUGUUCCUCCUUUUUGAGAUUUCACCAAAGACUCUUUUAUUUACAGUCACAGUGAGGCGGACCUGUGUCUCAAACUUAAGGUAAAACAGGCUUUAAAGAUAAGAAUAAGAAUAAGAAGAACUUUAUUGAUCCCGAAGGGAAAUUCAAUUGUCUGUUGUCUCACGUAAUAUGUCUCUAAGAGUUAUAAAGUCUGAUGUCUGUUGGUCCAAAGAUCUUCUGAAUCUUUCUGUCCUGCAGCAAAGAGAGAGGAGCCGUCCACCACCAUUGGUCCUUUGGUCCAUCAAGGUGUUGUAAAGUGGGUGAUCCAUGUUCUUGAGAAUAGUCUCCACCUUCCUCAGUGUAGAUCUCUCCACCACAUCCUCCACAGAGCCAGCCUUUUUCACCAGUUUGUUCAGACGUCUCCAUCUUUGUCUCCAACAGAACCUCAGGAAGUGGACCUUUAAGAACAGUUUGGCCCUUUUUCUGAAACACUCACACACUCCACAUUUUCACUAAUUUUGAUGUGUGUGACUUUUUCUUCUUAUUCCAAAAAGGCCUGAAUGUGCAAAAAAAAAAAAACCCUCUCCACCUAAUAAACAAAUCUUUAAAUCUCACUUCAUUAGUGAAUAAAUAACUCCGCUUAUCUCUGAACAUUAAAUAUAAAAUAUCUUCAGCAUCUUUUUUGGAUCAGUGUUGGUUAUAAAAAAUUCAGUCUUCUUGUGAGCAGGAAUUACCCAGAAUCCACCUGUAAAAACACCCACACACCUGAUGUCUGAGUGAAAUCAGCUGAUAAGC